rnacentral:rRNA from 1 species
UCCCUACGGGGCGCAGCAGUGGGGAAUAUUGCACGAUGGGGGAAACCCUGAUGCAGCAACGCCGCGUGAGUGAAGAAGUAUUUCGGUAUGUAAAGCUCUAUCAGCAGGGAAGAGAAUGACGGUACCUGGCUAAGAAGCCCCGGCUAACUACGUGCCAGCAGCCGCGGUAAUACGUAGGGGGCGAGCGUUAUUCGGAUUUACUGGGUGUAAAGGGCGCGUAGACGGUUCUGCAAGUCUGAUGUGAAAGCCCGUGGCUUAACCGCGGAACGGCUUUGGAAACUGUGGAUCUGGAGUGCUGGAGAGGG